UACGUAGGGUGCGAGCGUUGUCCGGAAUUAUUGGGCGUAAAGAGCUCGUAGGCGGUCUGUCGCGUCGGUCGUGAAAACUUGGGGCUUAACCCUGAGCUUGCGGUCGAUACGGGCAUGACUGGAGUUCGGUAGGGGAGACUGGAAUUCCUGGUGUAGCGGUGAAAUGCGCAGAUAUCAGGAGGAACACCAAUGGCGAAGGCAGCUCGCUGGAACGGUACUGACGCUGAGGCGCGAAAGCGUGGGGAGCGAACAGG
rnacentral:rRNA from 1 species